rnacentral:rRNA from 1 species
AACGAACGCUGGCGGCGCGUCUUAAGCAUGCAAGUCGAACGGUAAGGGAGAGCUUGCUCUCCCCUAGAGUGGCGGACUGGUGAGUAACGCGUGGGUGACCUGCCCUGAAGAUGGGGAUAGCUAGUAGAAAUAUUAGAUAAUACCGAAUGUGCUCAUUUACAUAAAGGUAAAUGAGGAAAGGAGCUACGGCUCCGCUUCAGGAUGGGCCCGCGUCCCAUUAGCUGGUUGGUGAGGUAAAGGCCCACCAAGGCAACGAUGGGUAUCCGGCCUGAGAGGGUGAACGGACACAUUGGGACUGAGAUACGGCCCAAACUCCUACGGGAGGCAGCAGCUAAGAAUCUUCCGCAAUGGACGAAAGUCUGACGGAGCGACGCCGUGUGAAUGAAGAAGGCCGAAAGGUUGUAAAAUUCUUUUGCAGAUGAAGAAUAAGAUGAAGAGGGAAUGCUUCUUUGAUGACGGUAGUCAUGCGAAUA